CGGACGGGUGAGUAAUGUCUGGGAAACUGCCUGAUGGAGGGGGAUAACUACUGGAAACGGUAGCUAAUACCGCAUAACGUCGCAGGACCAAAGAGGGGGACCUUCGGGCCUCUUGCCAUCAGAUGUGCCCAGAUGGGAUUAGCUAGUAGGUGGGGUAACGGCUCACCUAGGCGACGAUCCCUAGCUGGUCUGAGAGGAUGACCAGCCACACUGGAACUGAGACACGGUCCAGACUCCUACGGGAGGCAGCAUG
rnacentral:rRNA from 1 species